rnacentral:rRNA from 1 species
GACGACGCUGGCGGCGUGCUUAAAACAUGCAAGUCGAACGGACUUCUCAUGAAGCUUGCGAUUGAGAAGUUAGUGGCGGACGGGUGAGUAACGCGUGGGCAACCUGCCCCUGAGCCCGGGAUAACAGUUCGAAAGGACUGCUAAGACCGGAUAUACUUGCGGGGAAGCAUUUCACUGCAAGGAAAGGGAACGCUCAGGGAUGGGCCCGCGUCCCAUUAGCUAGUUGGUGAGGUAACGGCCCACCAAGGCGACGAUGGGUAGCCGGCCUGAGAGGGUGAACGGCCACACUGGGACUGAGACACGGCCCAGACUCCUACGGGAGGCAGCAGUUGGGAAUCUUCGGCAAUGGGCGCAAGCCUGACCGAGCAACGCCGCGUGAGCGAUGAAGGUUUUCGGAUUGUAAAGCUCUGUCUUCCGGGACGAUAAUGACGGUACCGGAGGAGGAAGCCACGGCUAACUACGUG